GCGGCGUACCUGGUGGAUUCGCUGUGGGACUGCGCCGGGAGCCGCCUGCGGGACUGGGACGCGGCAACGGGGCUGCUACUGGGAACCACCCUGCAGCUCCAUGAGGAGAAGGCCCUGGUGGAGAUCCUGAGCUGCAGCGCCCUCCGGCUGUGCCGGGGACACCCCCCCGAGGGACGGAGCCUGGCACGGAAGGUGUCCCCUCGGGAGCGCCGGGAGCAGCGCGAGGAGCGGGA